AGCAGCCGCGGUAAUUCCAGCUCCAAUAGCGUAUAUUAAAGUUGUUGCAGUUAAAAAGCUCGUAGUUGAAUUUCGGGAUCAAUUUAUUGGUCGUGCUAUUGUACGUACUGGUAUUAUUGAUUCCUACCUUCUGACGAACCAUGAUGUCAUUAAUUUGGUGUCAUGGGGAAUCAGGACUGUUACUUUGAAAAAAUUAGAGUGUUUAAAGCAGGCUCACGCUUGAAUACAUUAGCAUGGAAUAACGAAAUAGGACGUUUGAUUCUAUUUUGUUGGUUUCUAGGAUCGACGUAAUGAUUAAUAGGGAUAGUUGGGGGCAUUAGUAUUCAAUUGUCAGAGGUGAAAUUCUUGGAUUUAUUGAAGACUAACUACUGCGAAAGCAUUUGCCAAGGAUGUUUUCAUUAAUCAAGAACGAAAGUUAGGGGAUCGAAGACGGUCAGAUACCGUCGUAGUCUUAACCAUAAACUAUGCCGACUAGGGAUCGGAUGAUGUUAAUUUUUUAAUGACUCA
rnacentral:rRNA from 1 species